UAUCACUUCUGGAUGGACCUGCGGUGCAUUAGCUUGUUGGUGGGGUAACGGCCUACCAAGGCGAUGAUGCAUAGCCGAGUUGAGAGACUGAUCGGCCACAAUGGGACUGAGACACGGCCCAUACUCCUACGGGAGGCAGCAGUAGGGAAUCUUCCACAAUGGGCGCAAGCCUGAUGGAGCAACACCGCGUGAGUGAAGAAGGGUUUCGGCUCGUAAAGCUCUGUUGUUAAAGAAGAACACGUAUGAGAGUAACUGUUCAUACGUUGACGGUAUUUAACCAGAAAGUCACGGCUAACUACGUGCCAGCAGCCGCGGUAAUACGUAGGUGGCAAGCGUUAUCCGGAUUUAUUGGGCGUAAAGAGAGUGCAGGCGGUUUUCUAAGUCUGAUGUGAAAGCCUUCGGCUUAACCGGAGAAGUGCAUCGGAAACUGGAUAACUUGAGUGCAGAAGAGGGUAGUGGAACUCCAUGUGUAGCGGUGGAAUGCGUAGAUAUAUGGAAGAACACCAGUGGCGAAGGCGGCUACCUGGUCUGCAACUGACGCUGAGACUCGAAAGCAUGGGUAGCGAACAGGAUUAGAUACCCUGGUAGUCCAUGCCGUAAACGAUGAGUGCUAGGUGUUGGAGGGUUUCCGCCCUUCAGUGCCGGAGCUAACGCAUUAAGCACUCCGCCUGGGGAGUACGACCGCAAGGUUGAAACUCAAAGGAAUUGACGGGGGCCCGCACAAGCGGUGGAGCAUGUGGUUUAAUUCGAAGCUACGCGAAGAACCUUACCAGGUCUUGACAUCUUGCGCCAACCCUAGAGAUAGGGCGUUUCCUU
rnacentral:rRNA from 1 species